rnacentral:rRNA from 1 species
CCUACGGGAGGCAGCAGUGAGGAAUAUUGGUCAAUGGCCGAGAGGCUGAACCAGCCAAGUCGCGUGAGGGAAGAAUGUCCUAUGGAUUGUAAACCUCUUUUGUCAGGGAGCAAAGUCACCCACGAGUGGGUGUUGGAGAGUACCUGAAGAAAAAGCAUCGGCUAACUCCGUGGCAGCAGCCGCGGUAAUACGGGGGAUGCGAGCGUUUUCCGGUUGUAGUGGGUUAAAAGGGUGCGUAGGCGGGUUAUCAAGUCAGCGGUAAGAUCGUGGAGCUAACCUUCAUCCAGCCGUUGAAACUGAUGAUCUUGAGUGAGCGAGAGGUAUGCGGAAUGCGUGGUGUAGCGGUGAAAUGCAUAGAUAUCACGCAGAACUCCGAUUGCGAAGGCAGCAUAUCGGCGCCCGACUGACGCUGAAGCACGAAAGCGUGGGUAUCGAACAGGAUUAGAUACCCCGGUAGUC